rnacentral:lncRNA from 1 species
CAGUAUCAGUAGGGAGGCAGAGGAGGCCUCAUGUCAAGAGAAUCCACAACCGCGUCAGCAUUAUCAUCAGGUUUCAUCAGUUAUUCCAGUAUUUUAAAACAACUCAAACUGUCAAUCAAUGUCUGUUCAACAACAACGUCAACUACAGCCGCAACAAAGAACCAACAACUACAACAACAACAACAAUAAUCAACAACAACAAAAUUUCGAGAGGAAGAAG